AAAUAUGGUCUCUUGUUAUUGAGGAGAAUAAGACACUAUGUUAUAUCAUCCCUUAAAACUUCUUUCCAUGAACAGUAUUAACCUUUUUUUAUACUUCUAAUGGUUACAUAAUAAAUACAAAUUUGUGCAGUUUUCCACACCACCUUAACUCAAUAAAGAACAAUAAUUAUUUUUUUAUAUUUUUCAUCAACUGCAGUCCGUUAAUUAACUUAUUAAAAAUUAUG